rnacentral:rRNA from 1 species
UACAGAGGUCUCAAGCGUUGUUCGGAAUCACUGGGCGUAAAGCGCACGCAGGCGGAUUGCUAAGUCAGGGGUGAAAUCCUGGAGCUCAACUCCAGAACUGCCUUUGAUACUGGCGAUCUCGAGUCCGGGAGAGGUGAGUGGAACUGCGAGUGUAGAGGUGAAAUUCGUAGAUAUUCGCAAGAACACCAGUGGCGAAGGCGGCUCACUGGCCCGGUACUGACGCUGAGGUGCGAAAGCGUGGGGAGCAGACAGG